AUCCAACUGAUGAGUCCCGAAUAGAACGAAACGCACGUCCCAGAU
rfam:Schistosoma haematobium scaffold148_24, whole genome shotgun sequence.